UUUCGGCCUACUAUGGCCCAAAGUGUGCCUGCAAAUGUAACAUGUUUCUUGGCCUAUGAAGUCACAAGGUCUAGCUUGGGAUGAUUGAUUUAUCAGGCAUUGGUUUCUAGCUAAGGAUCUAGGUGAAACUUAUCACGUUGUUCAUCUUGAAGUCCUAUCUCUUGCCAUUGAAUGAAAGUAGCUGUUUCAUUGGAAAAUCUUAAUUGAAUUAAUAAAGGUCUGAAUCCCUGUCAAUGCAAUUUUUGUUGGCAUGUUUAUAUCAAG
rnacentral:misc_RNA from 1 species